rnacentral:rRNA from 1 species
AUGCACAGCAAGCGCACGCCACACGCGUCACGGGACACCACCCACGUCCUUAUCCACACCGCUCUUUCUCUCAUCCACACAAAUUCUCCAGCACCCGUCCUCUCCGCUCGCGCAACACCUGCCUCGCCUCUCAGCUCACGCAUCCUCUGUCUCACCUCUCGCUCGCGCCGCCGGAUACUAGCUCCGGCGAGCCCCACCACCGGAGGACUUCUCUCUACUACAAUUUCUCCCUCUCCGACGAGGCCUCCCCCUCCAGUUCCCCGACGACCCCUCUCACCCAGGGAUAGACCAGCCCGACGGACGAUGGAGCUACCGCCGGACACACCAGGAGCUUCAUCCGGCCACGCCGGGAGCUGCAACCGAUGGACGGAGGAGCUACAACCGGCCACGCCGGAGCUGCAACCUGUGGACGGACGAAGCUACAAUCGGAGCUGCGAUGGGGGCGGCACACGGUGCUACAUCCGGCGAUGUUUCAAUCGGCAGGGCAAUCUGCUACAACCGAUGCAGAUUUUUGCUACCACCGCGCGAUGGGAAAAUCUGCUACAACCAAACGGCGGCAACUCCGCGGAGCUGCAUCCUGAUCUCAAGUGGAAAGGUGAACCCAUAUAUGAUUCAGCAGCUUCAAGCACAAUUUUUUUAGCUUUCUUUGCUGCGCUGUCGUAUUGGUACUACUCACGUGUCUUUCAUGAUGCUUUUUUUUUGGGGUUUUCUGUUCCUUUCCUUGGGCCGGCUCUCCGGCCUCCCCACCCUCCUAACCUCUGCCGAGACCCGAGAGAAUCAGACGUUGAGGAGCAGUCAAAAGCGAAGACCGGCGGCCGCCGGCCCAGCUGCCCCUGCCCUAUGCGUGCGUAUAACUUCUACUACUCCCCUUCUUCCCCUCCCUGGUUGGUUGGUUCCAUCUCCCGCAGCGAAAAUGGCGGCCGCUCUCAUCUGACCCAGCUCAGGCCGCCGCUGUCGUGGACGCCGGUGACAGCAACACAAGCUAAGCUGCUCAAGAAAUUCCCGGAGGUUCUUGGGUGCGAUCUCGAGAGCGAGGUGAAGCUGAAUGUCGGCAAGCUGGACAGUGACUGGGGGAUAAACGGGAAGACUCUCCGGAGCGUUCUCUUACGGAAUCCCAAGGUUUUGGGCUACAAUGUGGACUGCAGAGGGGACUGCGCGGCGCAGUGCACCCGCUGCUGGGUUAGGUUUUAG